rnacentral:lncRNA from 1 species
UGCUAUUUUUUGCCCCAAAAUCACCAUUUUUCGCCCCCAAAGUCCCAAAAUCCCCAUUUUUUGCCCCAAAAUCAUCAAUUUUAUGCCCAAAAUCCCCAUUUUCCACCCCAAAAAUCCCCAUUUCUCACCCCAAAAUCCCCAUUUCUCGCCCCAAAAUUGCCAUUUUUCGCCCCAAAAUCGACAUUUUUUACCCCAAAAUCCCCAUUUCUCACCCCAAAAUCCCCAUUUCUGGCCCCAAAAUCCCCAUUUCUCACCCCAAAAUCCCCAUUUCUCACCCCAAAAUCCCCAUUUUUUGACCCAAAAUCCCCGUUUUUCCCCUCCAAAGCCCCAAAAUCCCCAUUUCUGACCCCAAAAUCGCCAUUUUUCACCCCAAAAUUGCCAUUUUUCACCUCCAAAGCCCCAAAAUCCCUGUUUUUUCACCCCCAAAAUCCGCAUUUUUCACCCCCAAAACCCCAAAAUCCCCAUUUUUCACCCCCAAAAUCACCAUUUUUCAUCCCAAAAUCGCCAUUUUUUGCCCCAAAAUCACCAUUUUUCACCCCAAAAUCCCCAUUUUUCACCCCAAAAUCCCCAUUUCUCACCCUAAAAUCACCAUUUCUCAUCCCAAAAUUGCCAUUUUUCACCCCAAAAUCCCCAUUUUUCAUCCCCAAAAUCCCCAUUUUUCAUCCCCAAAAUCCCCAUUUCUCCCCCCAAAAUCCCCAUUUCUCACCCCAAAAUCCCCAUUUUUCGACCCAAAACCCCCGUUUUUCCCCUCCAAAGCCCCAAAAUCCCCAUUUCUCACCCCAAAAUCCCCAUUUUCCCCCCCAAGCCCCAAAAUCGCCGUUUUUCACCCCAAACCUUUCAGCAGCUCCUGGGUGACGUUGAAGGCGCUCUCGAGGCUCCCGGGCUCGUCCAGGUCGGGGCAGGAAUCGCCCAACUGGGCAAAGACCUGGGCCAGGGCCGAGCCCCCGAGGCGGUGCCGGCCUGGGGACAGCUGAACCCACAGCAGGGACCCUAAAAACCCCAAAAACACCAAAAUUACACCCAAAAUCCACCCAAAAACCCAAAAUCAGCACCAAAAUCCACCCAAAAAUGGGGAAAUUCCACCCAAAAACACCCGGGCAAAGACCUGGGCCAGGGCCGAGCCCGGGGACAGCUGAACCCACAGCAGGGACCCUAAAAACCCAAAAACACCAAAAUCUGACCCAAAAAC